rnacentral:rRNA from 1 species
UUCGCAAUGCCCGAAAGGGUGACGAAGCGACGCCGCGUGGGUGAGGAAGGCCUUCGGGUUGUAAAGCCCUGUCAGGAGUUAAGAAAUGUAGACUCGCUAAUAUCGGGUCUAUUUGACAAAGGCUCCAAAGGAAGCCACGGCUAACUCUGUGCCAGCAGCCGCGGUAAUACAGAGGUGGCAAGCGUUGUUCGGAAUUAUUGGGCGUAAAGAGCACGUAGGUGGAUUUGUAAGUCAGACGUGAAAGCCUUCUGUUCAACGGAGGAAUUGCAUCUGAAACUACAAACCUUGAGUGUAGGAGGGGAGAAUGGAACUUCUGGUGGAGCGGUGAAAUGCGUGGAUAUCAGAAGGAACGCCGGCGGCGAAAGCGAUUCUCCGGCCUAUUACUGACACUCAGUGUGCGAAAGCUAGGGGAGCAAACGGGAUUAGAUACCCCGGUAGUCCUAGCCGUAAACGAUGGGCACUAAGUAGAGGGGUUUU